GAGUUUGAUCCUGGCUCAGGAUGAACGCUAGCUGGAGGCUUAAUACAUGCAAGUCGAGCGGGAUUAGGGUAGUAAUACCUUAUGAGAGCGGCGAACGGGUGAGUAACGCGUACACGACCUACCUUUGACUGGGGGAUAGCCCUGGGAAACUGGGAUUAAUACCGCAUAUAAUUCUGAUAAGUAAAGAGAUUGGAAUGAAAGUUCAGGCGGUCAGAGAUGGGUGUGCGUCUGAUUAGCUAGUUGGUAAGGUAACGGCUUACCAAGGCGAUGAUCAGUAGGGGGCGUGAGAGCGUGGUCCCCCACACGGGUACUGAGACACGGACCCGACUCCUACGGGAGGCAGCAGUAAGGAAUAUUGGACAAUGGCCGCAAGGCUGAUCCAGCCAUCCAGCGUGCAGGAAGAAGGCCCUAUGGGUUGUAAACUGCUUUUAUCAGGGAAGAAACCUUUCGAUUUAUCGGAAACUGACGGUACCUGAAGAAUAAGCACCGGCUAACUCCGUGCCAGCAGCCGCGGUAAUACGGAGGGUGCGAGCGUUAUCCGGAAUUACUGGGUUUAAAGGGUGCGUAGGCGGCUAUGUAAGUCAGGAGUGAAAGUUUGCGGCUCAACCGUAAAAUUGCUUUUGAUACUGCAUGGCU
rnacentral:rRNA from 1 species